GCGAGUCAUUGUAGCAAUACAAGGCGGACGGCUCGGUAACACGUAGUCAACCUAACUCGUGGACGUGGAUAACCUCGGGAAACUGAGAAUAAACCACGAUAGACCAUAGGGCCUGGAACGGCUUAUGGUCCAAACAGUUUACUGCCAUGGGAUGGGACUGCGGCCUAUCAGCUUGUUGGUGAGGUAAUGGCCCACCAAGGCGAUUACAGGUACGGGCUCUGAGAGGAGAAGCCCGGAGAUGGGUACUGAGACACGGACCCAGGCCCUAUGGGGCGCAGCAGGCGAGAAACCUUAGCAAUAUGCGAAAGCACGACUGGGUCAGUCCGAGUGAUUCCUGAUAAAGGAGUCUUUUGCCUGUCCUAAAAGCACAGGUGAAUAAGGGGUGGGCAAGUCUGGUGUCAGCCGCCGCGGUAAUACCAGCGCCUCGAGUGGUCAGGACGUUUAUUGGGCCUAAAGCAUCCGUAGCCGGCUUUGCAAGUCUUCGGUUAAAUCCACCUGCUCAACAGAUGGGCUGCUGGAGAUACUACAAAGCUAGGGAGUGGGAGAGGCAGACGGUAUUCAGUGGGUAGGGGUAAAAUCCUCUGAUCCAUUGAGGACCACCAGUGGCGAAGGCGGUCUGCCAGAACACGUUCGACGGUGAGGGAUGAAAGCUGGGGGAGCAAACCGGAUUAGAUACCCGGGUAGUCCCAGCUGUAAACGAUGCAAACUCGGUGAUGCAUUGGCUUAUGGCCAAUGCAGUGCCGCAGGGAAGCCGUUAAGUUU
rnacentral:rRNA from 1 species